UUCAUAAAAGUAAAAAGAAAAGAAUCUUAAAAGAAAUCUGUUAAGCUACUAUAGAGGGUUACAAUCCGAUAUUAUAUAGUAUUUCAACCUUAAUCUUUCCUAGUACCGAUGCUCUUUUGUUUGUUGUUGUUGUGAGGGAGAGAGCAUUUCUGUCGUCUAUACACAAAACUUUCCAUUUCACUUACAAGAUGGUGAAAAGAACGAACCUUGCUUAUUAUACACGGUUUUUAACGCUAUAACACUUCUUUACUUGGAUUUUACUCUCAAAAACUAUGACUGUGUUGGUGAUAGAACCCUGGCAGGAAGAGGUGAUGUUGCCUUGGAUAUUCAGAGUGAGGGAGACUGGCAGAAGACACAAGGUUCGGAGGCCUCCAGAGAGCUGCCCAGAGUGAAGCUUGUGGUAUAGAGGAACAGCUGCUGAUCAUCAAGCUUACGGAGUGACUGGAGGAAAGUGGGAGGAGCCUGGAGGGAGUGGUGGAGAUACCAGGAUAUGUGACCACCACCACCACCCCCACCACCACCACCACCACCACCACCACCACCACCACCACCAUUGGAGUCCCCUCUCUAGUUGGACAUUACGGCCCUGUUGUGUACCCUGGUGGCCUUCAUAGUUGACCGUAGUGUGUGUGCUGGGAGGACCUGAGCCACCUCCACCCCACCCUGCCCUGACACACUGGAUCCCCACCAAACCUCUCCCUGCCCCUCCCUGUGGGGGAGGAGGAGGUCUGCGCCCCGCCCGCCCCGGCCCAAUCACCUUCAGGCUUGGGGCAAAGGGUGCGCUGCGGCUGCCCCGCCCUGACCUGAAGGGCUUCCUGCCACAGGAGGAGGAGGAGGAGGAGGAAGAGGCGCGGGUGCCCCCCCGGGGGACACGACAGCGGCGACGACGAGCCCUCCGUCCUGCACCCCCCCGGCCCCCGAGCCCCGCCCCACCCACCAUCAGCCACACCAGUCCCUACCACAGCCUCUGUCCCCCGCCCCACACCAGGAGCGACUCAGAGCUGCCCUCCGCUGCGCCCCCUGCUCCCCCUAAAGCAGCAGCAGCAGCAGCAACAGCCACAGCAGGUGUACAGCUGGCCCUACCCUCCACAACCACAGCAGUUCCAGUACCCUUAUGAUGCAGCUGAGGGGACUGACACUGCCACCACCACCACCACCACUGCCACCACCGCCACAACAAGGGUUAUUCAGGUGUUGCCCCAAUAUGCUUCAACCCCACAGCCCCACUCCCCCAUGACAGUGCAGGCAGGGAAUGUCAUACAGGCUAUCACCACCAUGACCACCAUGACCACCACCACCACCAUGACCACCGCCACCACCACCACCACCACCACCACCACCACCACCACCACCACCACCACCACCACCACCACCACCACCACAGCACUCAGCGUGGCACAGAAGGAACAGAGCCAGGCGGAAAACAAGGACUAAGAUCCACUGCCACUUCCA